UUACCACCAUGAUUUGAACCAAUGCACCCUGUGUAUGGAGAGGAAAUGUUUAUCAAGAAUGGUGUUUUUGACGACCUUCAUGCUUUGCCAGGCGAAACGGCUGUUUGUUCACUUGCCCUUCAUUAGACUGCAGCCAUGCUGGGAAACCAGUGUCCUAUUCAGUCAGAAAUACUAUGAAAAAAGAUUGAACGUUUAACUAAAUAUACUGUCUCAUAAUCAACUUAGUCCACCCAAAAUAGCCCCAGCCACCAUUGCCCAAUCAAACAACAGUUUUAAAUCCAGCAACAACAGGCACACGUCUUCAACUUUGAAGAAAAUAUAUAAUUGCAAAGGACAGAGUAUAAAAAAGAAAGAAAAACAAUCACUCACCUUUGAAAUUUAUCUUGUCUGCAUUGUUAGCUAAUGCAUGUACAAGAGCGAUGGUACCACAGGCAUUACCGAUUGUUU